rnacentral:lncRNA from 10 species
CUUCUCCAGAACACAUAAUUACCUUUGCCCUGAAAGCAAUGCAGUCGGAUGCUUUGGCAGCACACUCAGGACAGCCAGGGCUGCAGACAUGGCCUCCAAAUUCAGUCUCAGUUACCCCAGGCAGAACACGGGAAUUGACCCUUCCAACUCCUCCACCUGCCUCUCGAUCCCAGAAUCUUGCCACCUGCUCCAGGUAUAUUUAAAAGCCUGGGGGAAGGUUUUGGUCAUGAGCAAGCCAUGGAAUUGAGGGAGAGGAAGAGUUUUUGCCAAUUUCUCCAAGUCAAGUGUGUGAAAGGAGACACCUAAUCUCUGCUUAUAGCACUUGCACCCUCGCAGUUUCAUGAGACCCACAUUAACGAAAGCUGGACAGAUUUGUCCUCAAGAACCACAUGCUCCAUGGAAAAAUAUUACCUACCGAUUGAUUAAAAGACCCGUUCUUUCAGGCCGAUGAAUGACAUAAGGAAUGCACCUUAUACACUGAAGAUCGAGCUCACAACCACAUAUAGUACAAUGUGGAUAACUGGCAUUUAGUUGAUGAAUUAAAUCAGCGUAGAUACAUAAUCUAAAUGAGUCCAGUGGCUCUUGGCUAAGAUGUUUAUUGCUUGGAAAUCUGCAAAAUUUUCACUUCACCUGGUCUAAAGGAAAACAAUCAACGAAUUUGACCUCUUCAUCAAGUGAGAUGCUCAUAUAAUGGGUUAUUCCACUUUGUUUACUCUCUGGACUCAUGGAUCCUUGAGCCUUUCUUUGAUUGUGCUUAGUUGGCAGCACUUUUGCAUCACUAUUCUGAGCAACAAUAUGUAUUGAACACCUACCGCAACAAAUGAAGGUGCGGAAGAUUAAUCUAACUAUGGACUGAUCACAGUAUAUGACUGAAAUGGCCUCACUGGAGGGGCUUAAAAAAUAAAUUGUUGAUAACAGCUUGUUUUACCUGUCAAGUCUAGGAUACAAACUCCUCCUAACUAAGAUUUCUAAUUAAUCAAUUGUGUGCUUUUUAACCCUAAAAUGAUAUGUUGGGUGCCUUCUAUUUGAAUGGAUGAAUCCUUGGCAUUGUUUCAGUGUUGGGUCUGUUUAAUGAGUAAGCAGUGAAAUAGCUUUGGCUGAUAGUGUCAUCUGUGGGUUUUUUUUGUUUUUGUUUUUGUUUUUGUUUUUGAGGCGGAGUCUCGCUCUGUCGCCCAGGCUGGAGUGCAGUGGUGCCAUCUCAGCUCACUGCAAGCUCCACC